rnacentral:rRNA from 1 species
UACGUAGGGGGCAAGCGUUGUCCGGAAUCAUUGGGCGUAAAGAGCGUGUAGGCGGCUCGAUAAGUCUGCUGUGAAAGUCCAGGGCUCAACCCUGGGAUGCCGGUGGAUACUGUCGGGCUAGAGUACGGAAGAGGCGAGUGGAAUUCCCGGUGUAGCGGUGAAAUGCGCAGAUAUCGGGAGGAACACCAAUUGCGAAGGCAGCUCGCUGGGACGUCACUGACGCUGAGACGCGAAAGCGUGGGGAGCAAACAGG